AUUGAACGCUGGCGGAAUGCUUUACACAUGCAAGUCGAACGGCAGCACGGGUGCUUGCACCUGGUGGCGAGUGGCGAACGGGUGGGUAAUACAUCGGAACGUACCCAGUUAUGGGGGAUAACUAACCGAAAGGUUAGCUAAUACCGCAUACGCCCUGAGGGGGAAAGCGGGGGACCGUAAGGCCUCGCGUAAUUGGAGCG
rnacentral:rRNA from 1 species